rnacentral:SRP_RNA from 1 species
CCAAAGCCUGUACAAUGAGAACUUGCCGGAGCUGCCCUUCAUAAGUGGCGUUGAUAUCCGGGUCUUGCGCGAUGGGAUGCCGCGAACCGUGUCAGGUCAGGAAUGAAGCAGCACUAAGUGGAUUGUCUCAUGUGCCGUGAGGGUGCCUGGGUUGAGUUAACUGUGGAGGUAACGUCCGGCUUUUGUUUUGG